rnacentral:rRNA from 1 species
UACGUAGGGUGCAAGCGUUGUCCGGAAUUAUUGGGCGUAAAGAGCUCGUAGGCGGUCUGUCGCGUCUGCUGUGAAAACUCGGGGCUUAACCCCGGGCCUGCAGUGGGUACGGGCAGACUAGAGUGCGGUAGGGGAGACUGGAAUUCCUGGUGUAGCGGUGAAAUGCGCAGAUAUCAGGAGGAACACCGGUGGCGAAGGCGGGUCUCUGGGCCGUAACUGACGCUGGAGGAGCGAAAGCCAGGGGAGCAAACGGG